rnacentral:rRNA from 1 species
UCAGGAUGAACGCUGGCGGCGUGCCUAAUACAUGCAAGUCGAGCGAAUGGAUUAAGAGCUUGCUCUUAUGAAGUUAGCGGCGGACGGGUGAGUAACACGUGGGUAACCUGCCCAUAAGACUGGGAUAACUCCGGGAAACCGGGGCUAAUACCGGAUAACAUUUUGAACCGCAUGGUUCGAAAUUGAAAGGCGGCUUCGGCUGUCACUUAUGGAUGGACCCGCGUCGCAUUAGCUAGUUGGUGAGGUAACGGCUCACCAAGGCAACGAUGCGUAGCCGACCUGAGAGGGUGAUCGGCCACACUGGGACUGAGACACGGCCCAGACUCCUACGGGAGGCAGCAGUAGGGAAUCUUCCGCAAUGGACGAAAGUCUGACGGAGCAACGCCGCGUGAGUGAUGAAGGCUUUCGGGUCGUAAAACUCUGUUGUUAGGGAAGAACAAGUGCUAGUUGAAUAAGCUGGCACCUUGACGGUACCUAACCAGAAAGCCACGGCUAACUACGUGCCAGCAGCCGCGGUAAUACGUAGGUGGCAAGCGUUAUCCGGAAUUAUUGGGCGUAAAGCGCGCGCAGGUGGUUUCUUAAGUCUGAUGUGAAAGCCCACGGCUCAACCGUGGAGGGUCAUUGGAAACUGGGAGACUUGAGUGCAGAAGAGGAAAGUGGAAUUCCAUGUGUAGCGGUGAAAUGCGUAGAGAUAUGGAGGAACACCAGUGGCGAAGGCGACUUUCUGGUCUGUAACUGACACUGAGGCGCGAAAGCGUGGGGAGCAAACAGGAU